rnacentral:lncRNA from 1 species
CUGUCAGUCUUUUCAGUAGAUUACUAUAUUUUCUUGUUGGACAAACUUAUAGUAGGUGGUUGCUGGUUACGAGGGUUAUAAACCAAACGUUGAAGUCCUUUUCUUUUCUUUUUUUUCUUUUUUUUUAAAAUACAAAUAGUAAUCUAAAUUACCAUAAAAAUUUGAAUGAAAUGAAAAUAACAUUGUUUUAUUAUCUUUGGCUAAUCACAGACUGCCACGUAGAAAAGUUAUAUCAUACAUAGCAUACCAUGAU